ACGACGCUGGCGGCGUGCUUAACACAUGCAAGUCGAACGGAAAGGCCCCCACCUUGGUGGGGGUGCUCGAGUGGCGAACGGGUGAGUAACACGUGGGUGAUCUGCCCUGCACUUCGGGAUAAGCUUGGGAAACUGGGUCUAAUACCGGAUAGGACCAUGGUUUAGUGUCUCAUGGUGGAAAAAUUAUUGUUUUGGUGCAGGAUGAGCUCGCGGCCUAUCAGCUUGUUGGUGGGGUAAUGGCCUACCAAGGCGUCGACGGGUAGCCGGCCUGAGAGGGUGGACGGCCACAUUGGGACUGAGAUACGGCCCAGACUCCUACGGGAGGCAGCAGUGGGGAAUAUUGCACAAUGGGCGCAAGCCUGAUGCAGCGACGCCGCGUGGGGGAUGACGGCCUUCGGGUUGUAAACUCCUUUCGUUAGGGACGAAGCCGCACCUUUUUGGGUGUGGUGACGGUACCUUUGUUAAGAAGCACCGGCUAACUAC
rnacentral:rRNA from 1 species